rnacentral:rRNA from 1 species
AUUGAACGCUGGCGGAAUGCUUUACACAUGCAAGUCGAACGGCAGCACGGGGGCAACCCUGGUGGCGAGUGGCGAACGGGUGAGUAAUACAUCGGAACGUGCCCGGUCGUGGGGGAUAACGUAGCGAAAGUUACGCUAAUACCGCAUACGAUCUGAGGAUGAAAGCGGGGGACCUUCGGGCCUCGCGCGAUCGGAGCGGCCGAUGUCAGAUUAGGUAGUUGGUGGGGUAAAGGCCUACCAAGCCGACGAUCUGUAGCUGGUCUGAGAGGACGACCAGCCACACUGGGACUGAGACACGGCCCAGACUCCUACGGGAGGCAGCAGUGGGGAAUUUUGGACAAAGGGCGCAAGCCUGAUCCAGCCAUUCCGCGUGCAGGACGAAGGCCUUCGGGUUGUAAACUGCUUUUGUAUGGAACGAAAAGGCUCUGGCUAAUACCCGGGGCUCAUGACGGUACCGGAAGAAUAAGCACCGGCUAACUACGUG